rnacentral:rRNA from 1 species
GAUGAACGCUGGCGGCGUGCCUAAUACAUGCAAGUCGAGCGAACAGACGAGAAGCUUGCUUCUCUGAUGUUAGCGGCGAACGGGUGAGUAACACGUGGGUAACCUACCUAUAAGACUGGGAUAACUCCGGGAAACCGGGGCUAAUACCGGAUGAUAUUUUGAACCGCAUGGUUCGAUAGUGAAAGACGGUUUCGGCUGUCACUUAUAGAUGGACCCGCGCCGUAUUAGCUAGUUGGUAAGGUAACGGCUUACCAAGGCGACGAUACGUAGCCGACCUGAGAGGGUGAUCGGCCACACUGGAACUGAGACACGGUCCAGACUCCUACGGGAGGCAGCAGUAGGGAAUCUUCCGCAAUGGGCGAAAGCCUGACGGAGCAACGCCGCGUGAGUGAUGAAGGUCUUCGGAUCGUAAAACUCUGUUGUUAGGGAAGAACAAAUUUGUUAGUAACUGAACAAGUCUUGACGGUACCUAACCAGAAAGCCACGGCUAACUACGUGCCAGCCGCCGCCGUAA